UACGAACUGUGCAAACGUUAUUCGGAUUCACUGGGCUUAAAGGGUGCGUAGGCGGCCAUGUAAGUAGGGUGUGAAAUCCCCCGGCUUAACCGGGGAACUGCGCCCUAAACUGUAUGGCUGGAGUGAGAUAGGGGUGUGUGGAACUUCCGGUGGAGCGGUGAAAUGUGUUGAUAUCGGAAGGAACGCCGGUGGCGAAAGCGACACACUGGGUCUCAACUGACGCUGAGGAGCGAAAGCUAGGGGAGCAAACGGG
rnacentral:rRNA from 1 species